rnacentral:rRNA from 1 species
AGUGAACGCUGGCGGCAGGCCUAAUACAUGCAAGUCGAACGGCAGCACAGCAGAGCUUGCUCUGUGGGUGGCGAGUGGCGGACGGGUGAGGAAUACAUGGGAAUCUGCCCAGUCGUGGGGGAUAACGUAUGGAAACGUACGCUAAUACCGCAUGCGCCCUACGGGGGAAAGCCGGGGACCGCAAGGCCUGGCGCGAUUGGAUGAGCCCAUGUUCGAUUAGCUAGUUGGCGGGGUAAAGGCCCACCAAGGCGACGAUCGAUAGCUGGUCUGAGAGGAUGAUCAGCCACACUGGAACUGAGACACGGUCCAGACUCCUACGGGAGGCAGCAGUAGGGAAUAUUGGACAAUGGGGGCAACCCUGAUUCAGCCAUGCCGCG